rnacentral:rRNA from 1 species
GAUGAACGCUGGCGGCGUGCCUAAUACAUGCAAGUCGAGCGAACAGACGAGGAGCUUGCUCCUCUGACGUUAGCGGCGGACGGGUGAGUAACACGUGGAUAACCUACCUAUAAGACUGGGAUAACUUCGGGAAACCGGAGCUAAUACCGGAUAAUAUAUUGAACCGCAUGGUUCAAUAGUGAAAGACGGUUUUGCUGUCACUUAUAGAUGGAUCCGCGCCGCAUUAGCUAGUUGGUAAGGUAACGGCUUACCAAGGCAACGAUGCGUAGCCGACCUGAGAGGGUGAUCGGCCACACUGGAACUGAGACACGGUCCAGACUCCUACGGAAGGCAGCAGUAGGGAAUCUCCCGCAAUGGGCGAAAGCCUGACGGAGCAACGCCGCGUGAGUGAUGAAGGUCUUCGGAUCGUAAAACUCUGUUAUUAGGGAAGGACAAAUGUGUAAGUAACUAUGCACGUCUUGACGGUACCUAAUCAGAAAGCCACGGCUAACUACGUGCCAGCAGCCGCGGUAA